GGGCGAUGGCCGACGGAAGGAGGACGCGAACGAGAAGUGGGGAUCUGGGAAGGAGAGCUGGGACUGAGAAGCACGAGAGCGCUUGAGCAAAGAAGCAAGGUUGUCUGUCUCCGUCGGGUAGGAAUAGGGGCAAAAAGAUGCUUCUGCGCUUCCGUCUUCCGUGACAAAGGUUUCAGUUGUUUUGACAGAGGAGGUGCGUGGGACAGCAACAGUAGGACCGAACCAGUUUUCUGAACACAUAAAAACAUAUCAGAGUGUAGUCUGAAGUUUG
rnacentral:lncRNA from 7 species